CAAUAUAAGUGAUGGCGACCGGCGCACGGGUGAGUAACACGUAUCCAACCUGCCGAUAACUCGGGGAUAGCCUUUCGAAAGAAAGAUUAAUACCCGAUGGUAUAAUAAAACCGCAUGGUUUAAUUAUUAAAGAAUUUCGGUUAUCGAUGGGGAUGCGUUCCAUUAGGCAGUUGGUGAGGUAACGGCUCACCAAACCUUCGAUGGAUAGGGGUUCUGGGAGGAAGGUCCCCCACAUUGGAACUGAGACACGGUCCAA
rnacentral:rRNA from 1 species